rnacentral:lncRNA from 1 species
AGUACCAGUUGGCAAAAACCCCAGAGAAAUCAGCAGAGAAGUAACAAUAUAUCGCAAAGCAUCACAACUCACAAAAUCUGAGUAUGAUGAUGAUUCAACAACAUGGUUUUUAUCGUUUUAUCGUGUAAGUUUCAAUGGCAUGGCAUAGAGCAUCUUCUGGGGAAACUCAGACACCAUGAACACUGUGCCAUGAAUGUAGACAAGGAAAAAACGACACACAAAUGGCGUGUAUUUGCCUGGAGACAGAUUGCCAGGGCAGAAGUAAUGGAUGUCAGAAGUAAUGGAUUGUGUUUCUUGGCUUGGUUUUCGAACUGUUGACGAUUGGACACCAUUCAAUGCGUCUGGUAUACCAGGAACUACAGUGAGAGGGUCGUCCAUACCUUGAGAAAAUGUCCAGGAAGAUAUUGUAUUGGCUUCAACAAGAACGGGAGAGACCGCUCUCGAUAUGGCGAAGAAAACUGUGGAACUCAGGAUGUUGGAGAUACCUACGACACAGUAAAUAACGUUGUGUGAAUGUGUCAUUGCAUGUCUUUAAUUUAUUGUAAAGCCAGUCGUUUGUCUGAGCGCAAACUAACUUCUGGCGUUAAUUAUCCCUAUUUCGUCUAUCCAUUCGUUGAGAAAGGUUUAGUGCUACACGUCAAAUUACAGGGCAAAAUAUAAUCCUCAAUUUCAAAAAGAGCCAUGCACCAAUGACAUUUUUCAUGGCAAGUUUUAUAUGCUCUUGGAUGCAGCAAAAUAUUGACAAGUUAAACGCUAAAGGGGCUGAUUCAAAAGCUGUUCAUGAUAGAAUUACUCGUAUUUACAGCCGACCUGGAAAAACAUACUGUCGUACCUACGACAGAAUAUUACCAGGACAAGACACUUGUAUUAUUGUGUAUGUCAAGAAACCAACCUAUACGCUUCCAAUUCUGUUUUUUCCCUUUUAAAUACAAGUGUUUAGUCGACAGCAUUUUAAAAUAAAACGUCACUAUGAUAACUGCAGUAAAGCUUCGUCAUGGAGGCACCUUGAAUGGCUUUAAUGGUGAUAUGAUUUUAACAAUAUCAUGGUUACAAGAUCUCGCAUUUUAGGUUGAUUGAAUACUAUUAGCAUUAAAUUAUGCUCUGUAGGCAAACCUUGCAGGAUUUGGAAAAAUCAUUACUUUUUCUGAGGAAGAUUUUGAUGAAGCCUUCGGUAGGAUUUUGAAUCAAGAAAUUUUUAUAUCGACUAGAUAUUUUGAUGAAUAAGAAAUAUUGCGUUAUUUCCGGUAAAUAUUAAACAAAACUUUACAGAUGAGAGUCAUGAGACGUGAUCUACUUUGUGUUAAGUUUUUCGAUUUUUGUAGUAUUACUGUUUAGUAUUCCCAAUCGAUACUGUGUAGUCGAUACCUAUUGAAGUCAUUCGGUUCUCUCCAUUUCCUUAAACAGGGUUAUUUAUUAUUAACUUUACUAUCACAUGCAUGAUAAGUAUUUGUUACGUGAGAAAUGUAAUGUUUGUUGUUCCAGGUCAUCUGGAAUGGUGGCUGAGGACUGGGACUGGCGCUAGUUGUCAAAUAAAAAUCCAUUUCUCGCGAUUGAAACAACUUGAAAUAUACUUUUUUACGGUUUCAAAUUUAUG